GGAGGAAAAGAAACUAACAAGGAUUCCCCUAGUAACUGCGAGUGAAGCGGGAAAAGCUCAAAUUUAAAAUCUGAUAGUCUUUGGCUGUCCGAGUUGUAAUCUAGAGAAGCACUAUCCGUGCUGGACCAUGUGUAAGUCUCCUGGAAUGGGGCGUCAUAGAGGGUGAGAAUCCCGUCUUCAACAUGGACUACCAGUGCAUUGUGAUAUGCUCUCAACGAGUCGAGUUGUUUGGGAAUGCAGCUCUAAAUGGGUGGUAAAUUCCAUCUAAAGCUAAAUAUUGGCGAGAGACCGAUAGCGAACAAGUACCGUGAGGGAAAGAUGAAAAGAACUUUGGAAAGAGAGUUAAACAGUACGUGAAAUUGUUGAAAGGGAAACGCUUAAAGUCAGUCACAUUGGUCAGGGAUCAACCUUGCUUUUGCUUGGUGUAUUUUCUGAUUAAUGGGUCAGCAUCAAUUUUGAUCAGUGGAAAAAGGCUGAGGGAAUGUGGCAUCUUUUGAUGUGUUAUAGCUCUCUGUCAUAUACAUUGGUUGGGAUUGAGGAACUCAGCAUGCCGCAAGGCCGGGUUUUAACCACGUUCGUGCUUAGGAUGCUGGCAUAAUGGCUUUAAUCGACCCGUCU
rnacentral:rRNA from 1 species